GGACGGGUGUGGCUAGGCCAGGGAUAUGCUUAGAAUCCUGGCAACGAGGCUCUAAAAUAGAGCUCAGACUUAUAAGACCAAGCCAAGACUACAAGAUGAUAUUUUCAUUUAUUGUAUUUGAAGCUUGCUGGAGGACCUUGGGCCAGUCAUGUUUUUUCAGCCUAACCUUCUUCACAGGGUUUCUGCAAGGAUGAAAUGUAUUAUACACUAAGUUCCAUAGAAGAAGCGCAGGAUAGAAAGGUUACCAUGCACUGAAAGGAAUUUGCUGGUUAUGCAUGGGAAUAUCAUCAUAUUCAAAGUACACUGUGAAAACAGGAGACAACAAAAAUGCCACAAUACCUUGAUCCACUACAGUCCAACAGCCUGCACAGUCCUAGUACAAUUAGAUAUAAGCGGAGGUAAACUAAAAGUUAUAAAGAGCUAAGGCUUGAAUACCUGCCUUGAAUUGAUGUAAACUAGCACAGUGGGACUGUGAAAAUUCCUCUCACCACCUCCUCAUCUUCAAAUGGCACCUACACCCAUUUUCCAUAGCUUGCUCAGAAGAACUGCCCUUGAACAAACUGUUCCUUUACAUCUGGUAAAUUAAUGAUGGAACUUUAGAAGUCUUCAAUUUUGGAACAUUUAUGGAGAGUUAAGCCGCAACUGAAAACUGCUUACCGUGUUGCAAUUUAUAUUUUAUUUUGACAGGUUCUUCAUAGGUACGUUUCAAUGUAUGCAUGCAGUAUGCAUUUGAAUCUAAAGAUAUUCUAGGCACCAGAAAUUGUAUUCGUGAUUGGAGUACAGAAGAAAGUAGACUGUGCCAAUUUGCCAUUGCAUUAUGCCAUUGCAAUUAAUGUGUUGACAAGUUUCAGUACCAGCUUUCAGUCCCAUGGAAUGUACUAUAUAAAAAAUAAAUAAACAAAAAACAGCAAAGAGACUUUUUUUAAAGGAAUAUUCAUUUUAUUCCACUAAAAAUUCAUGGUUGACAUCCAGACAUGUCAACCAUGUCUGAAUGCAGCAAUGCUACAUGUGUGCUACUGAGAGCAGGAGCUUUUUCAGAUGGUGACUUUACCUUGAC